rnacentral:rRNA from 1 species
CAUGCAAGUCGAGGGGUAGUAGUUCUUCGGAACUAGAGACCGGCGCACGGGUGCGUAACGCGUAUGCAAUCUACCUUUCACAAAGGGAUAGCCCAGAGAAAUUUGGAUUAAUACCUCAUAGUAUAGUACUUUGGCAUCAAGGAACCAUUAAAGUUCCAACGGUAAAAGAUGAGCAUGCGUCCCAUUAGCUAGAUGGUAAGGUAACGGCUUACCAUGGCUACGAUGGGUAGGGGGUCCUGAGAGGGAGAUCCCCCACACUGGUACUGAGACACGGACCAGACUCCUACGGGAGGCAGCAGUGAGGAAUAUUGGACAAUGGGCGCAAGCCUGAUCCAGCCAUGCCGCGUGCAGGAUGACGGUCCUAUGGAUUGUAAACUGCUUUUGUACAGGAAGAAACACUCCCUCGUGAGGGAGCUUGACGGUACUGUAAGAAUAAGGAUCGGCUAACUCCGUG